GUAGGUGGCAAGCGUUGUCCGGAAUUAUUGGGCGUAAAGCGCGCGCAGGUGGUUCUUUAAGUCUGAUGUGAAAGCCCCCGGCUCAACCGGGGAGGGUCAUUGGAAACUGGGGAACUUGAGUGCAGGAGAGGAAGGUGGAAUUCCACGUGUAGCGGUGAAAUGCGUAGAUAUGUGGAGGAACACCAGUGGCGAAGGCGACUUUCUGGCCUGUAACUGACACUGAGGCGCGAAAGCGUGGGGAGCAAACAGGGAUUAGAUACCCUGGUAGUCCACGCCGUAAACGAUGAGUGCUAAGUGUUGGGGGGGUUUCCCGCCCCUCAGUGCUGCAGCUAACGCAUUCAGCACUCCGCCUGGGAGUACGGUCGCAAGACUG
rnacentral:rRNA from 1 species